CAGUGAGUCGACUUCGGGAUCUGCGGUAUAAUAGGGUUUCUGUGAUCUUAUCUGCAAGGAGAAAGAAUGAGAGGGACAUGGUUUUUCCCCCUCUGUACUGCAGACUUUGGCCAGCUGUCCUGUGCAACGAGCACAGUUCUCUUUUGGUUGAUUCUUUUUUGCCAUUUUAUGAUGGCCUGGUGGCCGAUAAGCUCAUGCCAAACCAAAAUAUUGUACACAUUAUAAAACUACAACAGCAACCAUAAGCAAAUCGGUUCCACGGCGAGCAUGGGAAACGCAACAUUUGUGCUCAUCAGCUCAUCAACGGACCCAAAGCCAAAGCCAAAAACCCAGACCCCAGACCCCAGACCUCAUAGCCCAUAGUCCAUAGCACAGAGCCCAGAGACCGAAGAGGUGACGAUGCGACUCGCUGUGACCAUAAAAGAGAUUCUCGCUUUUAUAGCAAUCCCGAACACACAGAGAUAUAAAAAUAAACCACACACUUAGAUAAA